UCAAAUAUACACAAAAGUCACUCCCAAGCAUCCAUUGCCCAGCGUCAACAAUGAGCAACUCAUGGCCAAUUUUGUCAAUUUUGUUCCAUCUCUACCCCUGUCCCUUCCCCACCAACACCAAUCCGAGAUGUCACAUCAGUGAAGGGAGAGGCUUUGGGAUGGCCUGGAGCCUCACCUACGAGGAACAUCGCUGCCACUGACCACUGCUCCUCCUCUCUGGGCCUCUCUCACGCCAGGACUCUGCGCCCUGCAUCAUCACCUUCCAGCGUCAUGGGAGUCCCCUGGCUCAUUUCUUGUCCCCUGUCUCCUCUCACCCCCUGGCCAUAUUGUUAGGUCAACAGGAACAGAGGAGAGCCAGGGUGACACCAUUUUAAAAUCGACUCCAUCUUAAAACUAGCUAGGUAUAUUCCUUGCCAGUCACCACCCAUGGUCAUGAGAUGUUUAUGCCAAGGAAGCAGUUUAGUCAUGCCCGCAAGGACAAACUCCCACAACAGCAGAAUGUCCGGGUGUCCUGAUGUCUCAUAACAGUAUAUGCUUUCAAGAUAGUUACAGUAAUGCUUUGAUGUACUUACUCACUAAAAGGCCAAGGAUAAAACGUUCUUUAAAUCAACAAAGUACUACAUUUUGUGACACUGUCAGCCCACCCACACACAGACAUAACUUAGCUUGGCUUUUGUAUAGACAAGACCCCUAUAUAAGAAAAACCUUUAGCAGAUGAAGCAUUCCUGCUCGUGCUUUCUGAGAAUAACCUACUCUGAGUUGCUUUCAAUAAACCAUCCCUUCUUUACUGCA